AGCUCUAAACCCUAGUAUAUAUCCCCUUCCCACCUCCGAACCCUUCUCUCUCUCUCUCUCUCUCUCUCUCUCUCUGUUGCUCUGCUUAGUUGUUCUUAGGUUCUCUUUGCGUGGUAAUCGUUGUCGUUGUGAGAUUCUACAAUUAGUGUUUUCCACGAAGAUUUAUAAGGAGAGCUCAAAGUUUUGUCAAUGGCGACGGCAUUAAGACGAGCUCCGAAGCCCCUUGAAUUGCUAUCAAAAUGGAGGUUCAAUUUUGAUGGGGCGGUGGCCUCGGCCUCUUUUUCGAAUCGCCGUAGCUUUUCGGAUAGUUCGAGCACCGAUUGUGGUGAUAGGACUAUAGCUGAUUUGUCGGUGUUCGUCAGAUGGCAUAACGGUGGCGGCAUGUUUCACAGGUCUGCAUGUAUCAAUUCAACUGCAUUUGUAGAAACUGGCGCUGUAGUGCACGCAAACUCCAUGCUUGGUGAAUGCGUCCAUAUUGCAUCUGGCGCAAUAGUUGGGCCUUCUGUGUCAGUUGGACAGUCGACAAGAAUAGGGUAUAAUGCCGUUUUAAGCAAUUGUUCUCUGGGGGUCUCCUGUAUAAUUCAUAAUGGUGUCUGCAUUGGUCAGGAUGGGUUUGGAUUCUUUGUGGAUGAUGAAGGAUGUGUAGUUAAGAAACCUCAGAUGCUUCAUGUGAGGAUUGGGGACCAUGUGGAAAUCGGUGCUAAUACAUGCAUCGACAGGGGCAGUUGGAGAGAGACAGUCAUCGGAGAUCAUACGAAGAUAGACAACCUUGUUCAGAUUGGUCACAAUGUCAUGAUUGGAAAGUGCUGCAUAAUUUGUGGACAAGUUGGGAUCGCAGGUUCUGCAACAAUCGGGGACUAUGUUAUGCUUGGAGGUCGAGUCGGUGUAAAGGAUCAUGUUUCCGUUUCUUCGAAGGUUCGACUCGCAGCAAAUAGCCUCGUCACAAAGGAUAUUGUUGAGCCCGGCGACUAUGGGGGAUUCCCUGCGGUGCCCAUCAACGAGUGGCGCAGACAAUGUGCCAACUUGCGCAUAUUUUCAAAGAAAGAUCCGUCGAAAAGAUAAAUCGCUGACUCGUAACAGACGAAUCAAGACAGAAUUGAAGAAAUUAUAUGGGUCUCAGAAUCCAGGGAAAAAAUAAAGAAUCUUAACUGCUAGAUCUGCUGGGGACGUGUAGUCACAACACCGUAAAACGACGAGCUUCAGCUCAGCACUGAUCAGAUGCAUGGACUGGAUUCGGGAUUCGUAUGUUUGGGUAGUUGUUUGGUAGGUUAAUGGUCCCACCUAAGGAGAAAAGUUUCGACGUUUUGUUAAGUUAAUGAUCGAUCACUCGGAAAAGGACCGAAGCACCGAGAACAGCGAAGAAACCAUCAUAACAGGAACUUGCUAUUCUCACCCGCCGUUUUUUAUUAGCAUUGCGCAAAAAUUUGUUGCUUGGUCCCUGGUGCACCGAGGACCGGUCUUUAAACCCACAAGGCCACAACUUAAUCACCAUUUCUCAGUUAGUAGUGUAUUAUUAAAGAGAAGUACAGUAGUAAAUGCACAACAAGUGUAUUAAUGGAGAUUUUAUUU